rnacentral:sRNA from 1 species
UGCUCUUUCAAACUCAAGUUCAGAUAAAUCAUUUGUAUGUCUUAAAAGACAAAACUGUAGCUGCUUUUAAUUUAGAGGAAGACAUGAGAAGACAUCAGAUCAAGACUGCCUCCAAUCGUGAUAAGAAGCUAAUAAAUAAUGUAGGCACCAUGCAAAAGGUUGCUCUGCUGUUUCUUAUAAACCCAACAAGCACCCGUGUCUGACUUAAUGCCAUCUCAAGAACCCAACAACUACUCUAAAACCAUCAUUAUCGCAUCCUUAUCACCACAAGAAAAACAAAUCAAAACCAAAGAAUCCAAAUAAUAUUAUGUCGCCAAGAGUAUUGAAUCAUGAAACUAUAGAGAAAUAAGUUUCAUGGGUCUUCCUCUGGCAUUUGAUCUAGGCUCCAAGCGGCAGUCAGGUCACCAUUAAAAGUGGCGCCUGCUGUUGACUCGAUAAAAAUGGAGCCUUU